UACGAAGGGGGCUAGCGUUGCUCGGAAUUACUGGGCGUAAAGCGCACGUAGGCGGCUUUCUAAGUCGGGGGUGAAAUCCUGGAGCUCAACUCCAGAACUGCCUUCGAUACUGGAAAGCUCGAGUCCGGGAGAGGUGAGUGGAACUGCGAGUGUAGAGGUGAAAUUCGUAGAUAUUCGCAAGAACACCAGUGGCGAAGGCGGCUCACUGGCCCGGUACUGACGCUGAGGUGCGAAAGCGUGGGGAAGCAAACAGG
rnacentral:rRNA from 1 species